AGAUUGAACGCUGGCGGCAUGCCUUACACAUGCAAGUCGAACGGUAGAGUAGCAAUACUUGAGAGUGGCGAACGGGUGAGUAAUAUAUCGGAACGUGCCCAGUCGUGGGGGAUAACGUAGAGAAAUUUACGCUAAUACCGCAUACGAUCUAAGGAUGAAAGCGGGGGACCGUAAGGCCUCGCGCGAUUGGAGCGGCUGAUAUCAGAUUAGGUUGUUGGUGAGGUAAAAAGCUCACCAAGCCGACGAUCUGUAGCUGGUUUGAGAGAACGACCAGCCACACUGGGACUGAGACACGGCCCAGACUCCUACGGGAGGCAGCAGUGGGGAAUUUGGACAAUGGGCGAAAGCCUGAUCCAGCAAUGCCGCGUGCAGGAAGAAGGCCUUCGGGUUGUAAACUGCUUUGUACGGAACGAAACGGUCUGCUUUAAUACAGUGGCUAAUGACGGUACCGUAAGAAUAAGCACCGGCUAACUACGUGCCAGCAGCCGCGUAA
rnacentral:rRNA from 1 species